rnacentral:ncRNA from 1 species
UUUAAUUCGAUGCGAAACGAAUAAUCUUAUCAUGAAUUGAUAUAUUGUAAAUCAUCUUGAAAAAAAUGGGUGCCUUCAAACAUGUGGUACAUGACUGUAAUCAGCUCGUGCCGUAAGGUGUUAGGUUAAGUUUCGCAACAAGUGCACCCCUCGUAUUUAAUUGUCACAAUUGAGUUUGGAAUCCUAAACAAACUGAGUCAAAGAAAGGUGAGGAUGAUUUCAAGUCAUCAUGACUCUUAUGCCUUUAGCGA